AGCAGUCGCCACGGGAAUACAGAGGUCUCAAGCGUUGUUCGGAUUCAUUGGGCGUAAAGGGAGCAUAGGCGGUCGGGUAAGUCGGAUGUGAAAUCCUGGGGCUCAACCUCAGAACUGCAUUCGAUACUGCUUGGCUAGAGGACUGGAGAGGUGAGUGGAAUUCACGGUGUAGCAGUGAAAUGCGUAGAUAUCGUGAGGAAGACCAGCGGCGAAGGCGGCUCACUGGACAGUUCCUGACGCUGAUGCUCGAAGGCCAGGGGAGCAAACGGGAUUAGAUACCCCUGUAGUCCCUGUCUCUUAUAC
rnacentral:rRNA from 1 species